AGAGUUUGAUCAUGGCUCAGAGCGAACGUUAGCGGCGCGCCUAACACAUGCAAGUCGCACGAGAGUGGAGCAAUCCAUGAAAGUGGCGCACGGGUGCGUAACACGUAGAUAAUCUGCCCUUCAGCGGGGGAUAACGUUCCGAAAGGAGCGCUAAUACCGCAUACAGCAGUCGGUGGUUCGCCAUCGAUUGGCAAAGGCUGGGCUCCGCAAGAACCAGCCACUGAAGGAGGAGUCUGCGGCCCAUCAGCUAGUUGGCGAGGUAAUGGCUCACCAAGGCAAAGACGGGUAGCUGGUCUGAGAGGAUGAUCAGCCACACUGGUACUGGAACACGGACCAGACUCCUACGGGAGGCAGCAGUGGGGAAUCUUGGUCAAUGGGCGCAAGCCUGAACCAGCGACGCCGCGUGAGUGAUGAAGGCCUUCGGGUUGUAAAGCUCUGUGGGGAGAGACGAAAGAAUCGGUUCUAACAGGACCGAAGUUGACGGUAUCUCCUUAGCAAGCACCGGCUAACUCUGUGCCAGCAGCCGCGGUAAUAC
rnacentral:rRNA from 1 species